rnacentral:rRNA from 1 species
UGGCGGACGGGUGAGUAAUGUCUGGGAAACUGCCCGAUGGAGGGGGAUAACUACUGGAAACGGUAGCUAAUACCGCAUAACGUCGCAAGACCAAGAGGGGGACCUUCGGGCCUCUUGCCAUCGGAUGUGCCCAGAUGGGAUUAGCUAGUAGGUGGGGUAACGGCUCACCUAGGCGACGAUCCCUAGCUGGUCUGAGAGGAUGACCGGCCACACUGGAACUGAGACACGGUCCAG